rnacentral:tRNA from 1 species
GGGAAGGUGGCUCAGUGGUAGAGUGCUUGCCUUGCAUGCAUGAGGCCCUGGCUUUUUCU